GGAUGCGAUCAUACCAGCACUAAAGCACCAGAUACCGUCAAAACUCCAAAGUUAAGCGUGCUUGGGCGAGAGUAGUACUUGUUGGGGAACGUUGCAUGGGAAACAAAAAUUUUCCUACG
rnacentral:rRNA from 16 species